rnacentral:rRNA from 1 species
UACGAAGGGGGCUAGCGUUGUUCGGAAUUACUGGGCGUAAAGCGCGCGCAGGCGGGUCAUCAAGUCAGAGGUGAAAUCCCAGAGCUCAACUCUGGAACUGCCUUUGAAACUGGUGACCUUGAGUACGGGAGAGGUGAGUGGAAUUCCGAGUGUAGAGGUGAAAUUCGUAGAUAUUCGGAAGAACACCAGUGGCGAAGGCGGCUCACUGGACCGUAACUGACGCUCAUGCACGAUAGCGUGGGGAGCAAACAGG